rnacentral:lncRNA from 1 species
GCCCAUUGAAUAUUACCACUGAUCCAAAUGUUGUUUCAGCUGAACCAGUAGAGAAGCUUACAGUUCCUACUAAUUUUGAUUCUUCACAAAUUCCUGGACCACAAGAAUGUAGUGAAUUGUUUAAUCCAACAGCUCAGCCUACAGACAAGUCUGCCAAUGUAUCUGAAAAAAAUGUGCUAAGUUCUGGACAAAUAGCAAAUUCCUGGACCACAAGAAUGUAAUGAAUUGCUUAAUCCAACAGCUCAGCCUACAGACAAGUCUGCCAAUGUAUCUGAAAAAAUGUGCUAAGUUAUGGACAAAUAGGUGUGACUGUUGACAAUAAUGCAGGAUUGAAGGAAAUGUUUGGUCGAUCUGAUUCAGCAGUAACACAUGGGGCAAUUCACAUUACUGCAGACCACAAAAUUACUAGUGCACAGACUAGGCAGUUGGUCGAUCCUAAUGGACAACAUCUCAGAUGCAAUAUACAGCUGAUUGGAG